UGCCUACGGGGGGCAGCAGUGGGGGAUAUUGGACAAUGGGGGAAACCCUGAUCCAGCGAUGCCGCGUGAGGGAAGAAGGUUUUCGGAUUGUAAACCUCUGUGGAGGGGGACGAUAAUGACGGUACCCCUUUAGGAAGCCACGGCUAACUACGUGCCAGCAGCCGCGGUAAUACGUAGGGGGCAAGCGUUAUCCGGAAUUACUGGGUGUAAAGGGAGCGUAGACGGUUAAGUAAGUCUGGAGUGAAAGGCCGGGGCCCAACCCCGGGACUG
rnacentral:rRNA from 1 species